rnacentral:rRNA from 1 species
UACGUAGGGUGCAAGCGUUGUCCGGAAUUAUUGGGCGUAAAGAGCUCGUAGGCGGUCUGUCGCGUCGGAUGUGAAAACCCAGGGCUCAACCCUGGGCCUGCAUUCGAUACGGGCAGACUAGAGUUCGGUAGGGGAGACUGGAAUUCCUGGUGUAGCGGUGAAAUGCGCAGAUAUCAGGAGGAACACCGAUGGCGAAGGCAGAUCUCUGGGCCGUAACUGACGCUGAGGAGCGAAAGCAUGGGGAGCGAACAGG